UCGUGCUAGAUGGGGAGUUAGCGGUGCCCUGUACUCGCAACCCGCUUUAGCGAGAUCGAAUUCCCGUCUGAGGUUUGAUGGAUCAGGUGUCUGCGCCGGAUACGCCGGCGAUGAGGAGCGGGUCCUUCGCAAUCGGAUAUUGCCCAACCCCGCCAGGCCCGGAAGGGAGCAGCGGUAAGCGACUGUCCGGUGUGCCGGAGGUAACCUGGUCUGAGUUGGCGGUCCGGAAAGCGGCCUGUGAAGUGAAUCGAGGGCGGGUGCACGA
rnacentral:SRP_RNA from 1 species